AAUGAACGCUGGCGGCAUGCCUAACACAUGCAAGUCGAACGAAGCCUUCGGGCUUAGUGGCGCACGGGUGCGUAACGCGUGGGAAUCUGCCCUUGGGUUCGGAAUAACAGUUAGAAAUGACUGCUAAUACCGAAUGAUGUCGUAAGACCAAAGAUUUAUCGCCCAGGGAUGAGCCCGCGUAGGAUUAGCUAGUUGGUGUGGUAAAGGCGCACCAAGGCGACGAUCCUUAGCUGGUCUGAGAGGAUGAUCAGCCACACUGGGACUGAGACACGGCCCAGACUCCUACGGGAGGCAGCAGUGGGGAAUAUUGGACAAUGGGCGAAAGCCUGAUCCAGCAAUGCCGCGUGAGUGAUGAAGGCCUUAGGGUUGUAAAGGCUCUUUUACCCGGGAUGAUAAUGACAGUACCGGGAGAAUAAAGCUCCGGCUAAACUCCGUGCCAGCAGCCG
rnacentral:rRNA from 1 species